UAAGGAAGUGGUGGCAGAGUUGUUAAAUCAUUUAGGGACAGCAGUGACAUCUUCGGGCAGCUGCACAGAGCACAUCCGUCAGUCCUUGGAAGCCGUUCAACCUAUGAUUCCUGAGGAGAUGAAUACCCUUCUAUGUGUAGCUCCUGCAAUGGAAGAAAUUUCAAAAUCUCUCAAUGAUAUGGGGCCUCUCAAAUCUCCUGGUUAUCUUCCACAGGAGCUAAAUAACACUUUUGUCUGCCUCAUCCCGAAAGUCUCUGACCCCGAACGUGCGGAGCAUUUUAGGCCCAUUAGCCUAUGUGGAGUGGCCAUCAAAUUUAUCUUGAAGAUCAUAGUGGAAAGGCUUAGUGGUAUGUUGCAAGACAUCAUCUCUCCAAACCAAUCGGCCUUCGUCCCAGAUCGUCUCAUAUCGGACAACAUUUUUAUGGCUCAUGACAUAUAUCACUAAAUCAAGCAUCGCAAGAAAGGGAAGAAGAAGUUCUUGGCUCUUAAGUUCGACGUGAGGAAAUCCUACGAUAAGUUGGAAUGGCCUUUUAUCCGUGCUGCCCUACUGCAAUUGGGAUUUUGUAUCAGAUGGGUGGAUUUGGUAAUGAAGUGCAUUUCCUCA